AACGCUAGCUACAGGCUUAACACAUGCAAGUCGAGGGGCAGCAUGGUCUUAGCUUGCUAAGGCCGAUGGCGACCGGCGCACGGGUGAGUAACACGUAUCCAACCUGCCGUCUACUCUUGGACAGCCUUCUGAAAGGAAGAUUAAUACAAGGUGGCAUCAUGAGCYCGCAUGUUCACAUGAUUAAAGGUAUUCCGGUAGACGAUGGGGAUGCGUUCCAUUAGAUAGUAGGCGGGGUAACGGCCCACCUAGUCUUCGAUGGAUAGGGGUUCUGAGAGGAAGGUCCCCCACAUUGGAACUGAGACACGGUCCAAACUCCUACGGGAGGCAGCAGUGAGGAAUAUUGGUCAAUGGGCGAGAGCCUGAACCAGCCAAGUAGCGUGAAGGAUGACCGCCCUAUGGGUUGUAAACUUCUUUUAUAAAGGAAUAAAGUCGGGUAUGGAUACCCGUUUGCAUGUACUUUAUGAAUAAGGAUCGGCUAACUCCGUGCCAGCAGCCGCGGUAAUACGGAGGAUCCGAGCGUUAUCCGGAUUUAUUGGGUUUAAAGGGAGCGUAGAUGGAUGUUUAAGUCAGUUGUGAAAGUUUGCGGCUCAACCGUAAAAUUGCAGUUGAUACUGGAUAUCUUGAGUGCAGUUGAGGCAGGCGGAAUUCGUGGUGUAGCGGUGAAAUGCUUAGAUACCACGAAGAACUCCGAUUG
rnacentral:rRNA from 1 species